rnacentral:lncRNA from 1 species
CCACACCUGAGGCAUAUGGAGGGUCCCAGGCUAGAGGUCGAAUCAGAGCUACAGCUGCCAGCCUGUACUGCAGCAACUGCAACGUCAGAUCCGAGCCACUUCUGUAACCUACACCACAGCUCAUGGCAAUGCCAGAUCCUUAACCCACUGAGUGAGGCCAGGGAUCAAACCCGCAACCUCAUGGUUCCUAGUCAGAUUUGUUUCCACUGUGCCACGAAGGGAACUCUAGCAUGAGCUUUUUAAAAUAAUAAAUAGGAAUAUCUAUGUUUCCGAGUUUGGAAUCCUUUUGCUUUAAAAUGAGAUUCAUAAAUAUAAGAGGUUUCCAGCAGUAGAGAGAGUAAAAAUGAUGACAGAUCCUCCUACUAACAGCUUAUAUUUGAUUUUUCAUUAAUUUCAAAAAUGGAAAUAUUAAUGUAUUAUGUGGCUCACCAGAGAGAAAAGAUAACUUCCAAAGGUUUAAAUUAAUAUUAAAAUAAAAAUAAUAAAUCUAUACCUAUGUAAUACAAAUAAGGAUACAUUUAACAGAAUGUUUAAAACUUUAGUAAAUUAAUAAAAUUCUAUGAAAUUUAUUCAAAAAUUCUCAGAUGCUAGAUAUACAAUUGCUGAUAAAUGCCAGCCUCGAUGAAUAAAUAUAUAAAUUAUCUCCAAAUAUUUAAUACCUCCAUUAUAUUUCUUUAAAAAUCCCCAAGUUUCAUGGAGUGUUGUGAUCUGAUUUCAAAAUAUCUGUGAAAGAACAAUGACAUGAAGAGUCAGUAGAUGAAAUCAAAGUUCAUGUGUUAGGAUUAGGCCUAUCAGAUAUCAAGACACAUACACUUUUAAAAAUUAAGGUAGAUCUGUAAAUAAAUACACAGAAAUUUAUGAAAUUAGGAACCUUAAUUUAGGAAGAGUGUAUUGCAUAUAACAUGGAAAAAAUUGUUGCCAGAGCAAUUGUUUAUCCAUAUGGACACAAAAAUUAAAUGGGAUUGCUAACUUUCUUCUGUAUAUUAGAGCUAUAUGCGCCAGAUGGAUUAAAGACAACUGAGAAAAGCAAAAUUUUAAAACUUAAAAGUUUUGGAUAGAAUAUACUAAAAUCUCAGUGCAGGAAAUGGUUUCUUAAACAGUAAUAUAACUAUGAAAAAAGAGUUUUGUAAUAUUCAAAUAAAAUAACAUUUAAUAUAACUAUGAAAAAGUUAUCUCCUUUAAAUCAGGGGGCAAUAUUUGGAAAAUAUAUAGCAGAUAUUAAGAUGAUCUAGUAUAUCUCUAUUUUAAAAAGUCCUACAGAUUCUUAGGAGAAAAAGCAUGAUCCUCUUAGAAAAACACACAAAAUCCAGUUAUUUAUAGAAGCAGCAGCAUGAGUGGAUCACAGCGCCCAUCUUCUCUGGUAGAAACUGCUAGUUGUUGGACCCAUUUCACUGCUACAUCCGUUCUCCCCUCUGUACUCUUUGAAUGGCAGAGCACAUAGUCGGAGCCUUAGAAAAAUCAUGGUUCUUCACCUAAAAGCCCCAGCCAUUCUUGCAUCAGGCACCGUCAUGAGACUGAGGCAUCUUGACAAAGAGAUGUGAGUAGAAGUAACAUGUUCGAAUUAUGGGUCAACUCCUUGAAAUGGAAGCGUCUCAUCUUUUUCACUUUUUCCCCUUUCAAUCAAACUGGAUUUCAUACGUCUGUUGGAGAUUAGCUUUCCACUAAGGCUAAGAGAAACCUGGGAAAUGGUGAGAUAAAAAGGGCCAGAAUCCAUGGUCGAUUAAUGGAACCAAACUACCUUCCUUCCAUGGGCUAGCCCCCUACUAAGUUGUGGCAGAAAGCAUUAAUGCCUUGCUUGUUUGAGUUAUUGGACAUUUUUUGUUAUAGCACCUUUAAUUAAUAACCAGAAUUAGCCAUGGAAGUGAACUGAAAGAUUUUGGCACAUAUUAUGAUGCCAUGAGAAAUUACUUUCACUGAAUAAAAGGGGAGAUAGACAGGAUACCUACAAAGCCUGCAAAAAAGCCUAAAUAUUGAUAUUUAUUUAAAUUCCUACCUGCUUUAACAGGGUAGUAUAAGCUGGAUUAACAAACCAGAAAGAUAGGGAAGGAAUGCCAUUCUAUUAAAGAGGCUCUCUUUGUCUGCAGUUCCAAUCUAAAUUAACUGAGAAUCCUCUGACAUGGAGACUUGCAGGGUUAUAAAAGCCAACUGCUUCUGUCCACCGAGCAGCUGUUGAUAAGAUUAUGGUGCCAACACAUCAAUGUGCUUGGACAUAAAAUGGUAGCCAACUCAGCUGCAAAGAUUAGAUUAUGUAUGUUGCCUGUUCACUCAUCCUGUUAUUUCACAUCGCCUUGAGGUGGCUGCGUUACAAUGAGUAUAGAUGUCAGUAAAUAAAGACAGUCAUCCAGGCUUAAGAACUGGUCCGGGUAGAUGUCUGAUUGUACUGUAAUUUCCUUCACAUGGAACUGAAGGGAAGCAAAGAAAUCAGAAGCCUCCCGAGUUUUUGCGGAAAUCGUUUGGUCCAGAAACACUUCGGCUUGAAAGCCUGUGAUUGUUCAGGCAAACUGAAGUCUGCAAACCUCAACUGAGAGGGGACUGGUUAUUAAAAUUCUGCCACACCAACAAGGUAUAAUCUCCAUUGAGGGAGGGAGCCUGUCACAGAGCACAGCUCUCCCUUUAAAGUCAUUCCGGAGUUCCCGUCGUGGCGCAGUGGUUAACGAAUCCGACUAGGAGCCAUGAGGUUGCAGGUUCAGUCCCUGCCCUUGCUCAGUGGGUUAAGGAUCCAGCGUUGCCGUGAGCUGUGGUGUAGGUUGCAGAUGCGGCUCGGAUCCCGCGUUGCUGUGGCUCUGGCGUAGGCUGGUGGCUACAGCUCCGCUUUGACCCCUAGCCUAGGAACCUCCAUAUGCCGCGGGAGCGGCCCAAAGAAAUAGCACAAAGACAAAAAAAAAAAAAAAAAAAAAAAAGAAGUCAUUCCAACAUUGGCAAAGGGAGGAUUCAUGCUGCCCACCCAGCAGAUUUUAUAAAUGACUAGUGACUAUACCCCCCACCUCCCUUUUCACACUUGUGUUAUUAAUGCAGUUACCUUAU